UACAGAGGUCUCAAGCGUUGUCCGGAUUUAUUGGGCGUAAAGAGCUCGUAGGCGGCUCAUUGCGUCAACCGUGAAAACCAGCAGCUCAACUGUUGGCUUGCGGUUGAUACGGGUGGGCUGGAGUUCGGUAGGGGAGACUGGAAUUCCUGGUGUAGCGGUGAAAUGCGCAGAUAUCAGGAGGAACACCGGUGGCGAAGGCGGGUCUCUGGGCCGAUACUGACGCUGAGGAGCGAAAGCGUGGGGAGCGAACAGG
rnacentral:rRNA from 1 species